rnacentral:snoRNA from 1 species
AGACUGUGGUGUGGACAGUAUCUCAACAAGUCCUUAUACCUCUUCCAAGCAUCAUACAUUCAGUCGUCUUCCAUUUGCACAAAAGAAGAAAUGUCAUUCCUUAAUUU